rnacentral:rRNA from 1 species
UGCAGUCGAGGGGUAACAGGGAGUGCUUGCACUCUGCUGACGACCGGCGCACGGGUGCGUAACGCGUAUGCAAUCUACCUCUUACUGAGGGAUAGCCCAUGGAAACGUGGAUUAAUACCUCAUAGUAUUAUAAACUGGCCUCAGUUUAUGAUUAAAGGUUACGGUAAGAGAUGAGCAUGCGUCCUAUUAGCUAGAUGGUAAGGUAACGGCUUACCAUGGCUACGAUAGGUAGGGGUCCUGAGAGGGAGAUCCCCCACACUGGUACUGAGACACGGACCAGACUCCUACGGGAGGCAGCAGUGAGGAAUAUUGGACAAUGGGCGAGAGCCUGAUCCAGCCAUGCCGCGGGCAGGAAGACGGCCCUAUGGGUUGUAAACUGCUUUUACAGAGGAAGAACCCUCCUUACGUGUAAGGAGCUGACGGUACUCUAUGAAUAAGGAUCGGCUAACUCCGUGCCAGCAGCCGCGGUAAUACGGAGGAUCCAAGCGUUAUCCGGAAUCAUUGGGUUUAAAGGGUCCGUAGGCGGGUCUAUAAGUCAGUGGUGAAAGUCUGCAGCUUAACUGUAGAACUGCCAUUGAUACUGUAGACCUUGAAUUAGUAUGAAGUGGUUAGAAUGUGUAGUGUAGCGGUGAAAUGCAUAGAUAUUACACAGAAUACCGAUUGCGAAGGCAGAUCACUAAUACUAUAUUGACGCUGAUGGACGAAAGCGUANGUAGCGAACAGGAUUAGAUACCCUGGUAGUCUACGCCGUAAACGAUGGUUACUAGCUGUCCGGCCUAUUUGAGGGCUGGGUGGUUA